ensembl:snoRNA
AUCCUUUGGUUUAUGAGUGUGAUGAUUGGGUGUUCACACUAUUGUGUGAGAUGUGCCUCCCUCUAAAUCUUGUUACAACGUCGACACAUUACCCAUCUGACA